AUACGUAGGGGGCGAGCGUUGUCCGGAAUGAUUGGGCGUAAAGGGCGCGUAGGCGGCCAGGUAAGUCUGGAGUGAAAGUCCUGUUUUUAAGAUGGGAAUUGCUUUGGAUACUGUCGGGCUUGAGUGCAGGAGAGGUAAGUGGAAUUCCCAGUGUAGCGGUGAAAUGCGUAGAGAUUGGGAGGAACACCAGUGGCGAAGGCGAAUUACUGGACUGUAACUGACACUGAAGCACGAAAGUGUGGGGAACAAAUAGGAUUAUAUACCCCGGGAGUCCACACUGUAAACGGGGAAUGCUAGGUGUAGGGGGUAUCGACCCCUUCUGUGCCGCAGUCAACACAAUUAGGUUACCGCCUGGGGUGUUCGUCCGCAAGGUGGAAACUCAAAUGAAUUGACGGGG
rnacentral:rRNA from 1 species